rnacentral:misc_RNA from 1 species
AGGCUGGAGCACCAGUUGAGAAUUUCGCCAAAGAAAAAUUUGAGGAUUCUUUUACUUAAGCAGAAUUUUGGUUGGCAUUUUGGAAGAUUCAUCUUCGGAUCUUGUUCGAUCCGAGAACAGAGCAAGAAACCGGACAAGUCGACAAGAUAUCGCCAGGUCAACUGUGGGAAACGAUGUAUCGUUUCAAUAGACCAGAAGAUCUUGCAGUUCCACCAUCGCCAAUUUUUUUCGACGCGAGAGCAAACCGAAAAAUUGGAGACAUCCAGCAAAUACCUCUGCGUCUGAUGUGGGAAGUGAUGACGAAGUGCGCCAAAGUUGAUGGUGCAGAUGUGGGUGCGGUUAAGGUACACAGUGUUCCUCUGGGAAGCAGCCAGUCUUCAACAGCGAGCAACAGGGUUUUAGGCAGUCUCUUUGGUGCAUAUCAUGUAUAUGUAACUAUACGCAUUGGGCGAGCAUACUGGUCCUUCGAGCGAUAUGAAGAGGGUAUUUUGGUUCAAAGAAGUCUUGAAGAAAGAGCAGUCAUUGAGAAAUCCAUGAAAGAAAAACGUAUCAGUGGCAACUGCGGUAUUAAAUCAGAGUCUCUUGGCAAGAACGAUGAUCUUGAGACAGUUGAGGAUCUCAUCCUUGUGUUGAAGACAGCGUUCAAUGCACUAGUUCACAGCCGAUUUGACGGCUUGCUAAACAACUGCCAACAUUUUGCACGAAAGAUACUCCGUGCGAUGGGGUUCAAUUGGAGUAAGCCAUAUGUCGUCGAGAGCGAGCUACCAGUAUGGUACAUAUAUUGAUGUCCUCGCUUGUGACAUUAAGUCAAUCAUGCUCCAAAAUGUUUUGUCUUUUAGCUAGUAAAUCUUCAUCGAUGUAGUAAUAGCAGGUGUGUGAUGUAAUAUCGCAAAUUAAUUAAAAUGUGAAUCGCAGGAAUAAUUUGCAAAUAAUUGUUCA